GAGGGUGUCAAAGGUUAAAGCCAUGGCACCUACACCGCUGGCCUCAUGGCCCAUAUGUCCUAUAGCUGCAAUUAUAAGAGUUGGAUAUAAAAUUUCCACUGCUUCAGUCCUUUCCCAAGGGACUCAACAGUUGAAGGGCACUGCAGCCCCUCUCAUCUUCUGUACAUGUGUGUGCGGAUGCGUAUGUCUCAGAUUACAGGUGACAGUAAAGAGAAUCUUGAGCUUCGAAAACAAGGAGUCCUAUCUGCUUGUCUUGCUUACUGAUAAAUUGGCCAUGCGUAGCUCCAUGCCUUAUACGUGCAAUCUUCCACAAGGGCUAGGCAAUUUGCAAUGAAGAUGAAGUUUAAGACAUAAAAGGAAGUAAGAUUGAUCUCAUGAAGGCUCCAUUUCACAAACACCUUCGGGCAUUUCCAAUCAACACAGACAAAGUCUUGCUCUGUCGCCCAGGCUAGAGUGCAAUGGCAUGAUCUCAGCUCACUGCAACCUUCGCCUCCCGCGUUCAAGCGACUCUUGUGCCUCAGCCUCCCAAGCAUCUGGGACUACAGACGGAGUCUCGCUCUUUCGCCCAGGCCGGACUGCAGUGGCGCUGCCUCAGUUCACUGCAAGCUCCGCUUCCCGGAUUCACGCCAUUCUGCUGCCUCAGCCUCCUGAGUAGCUGGGAUUACAGGCGCCAGCCACCGCGCCCGGCUAAUUUUUUGUACUUUUAGUAGAGACAGGAUUUCACCCCGUGUUAGCCAAGAUGGUCUCGGUCUCCUGACCUCGUGAUCUGCCUGCCUCGGCCUCCCAAAGUGGUGGGAUUACAGGCGUAAGCCACCGCGCCCGGCCUGAGCAAUGAAUUUCUUAAUUGCCAAACAUAACACAAUGUUAGUUUUAUCUUUACAUUUGAAAUCUGACUGAUUGCACUAUUGAUGGAGGGCAAACUUUGAAAUUUGGGGGAGUUGCUUAAUCACCAAACACAUGAUCAACCUUUUUAAUGUUCUGUGAAUGCUUGAAAAAAAAAGUUGAUUUGGUGGUUAUUGUAUGCAAUGUUCUAUAAAACUCAAUUUUUUAAAUGUUUAAAUAAUGGUAUUUAUGUUAUAAUAUUUGUAAUAUUUUAUCAAGGUUUUCUACUGAUUUUUCAACAUGUUUUUUAAUAUGCCCAUUAAAAUUUGCAUAUUUCUUCUUGCAGUUCUGUCAGCUUUUGUUGGUAUAUUUUGAGGCCAU
rnacentral:lncRNA from 1 species